UUCGGGAACUCAUUCUUUGCAUAGCAUCUUACAAUUUCUGUCAAAGCUAAAUCAUCAGUAAUUAGUCAUUUCACUUGUAUUAGGAAAGAAGAUAUAAGGUGGUGUUAGUUUUGAUUAAGAGAUAAGGUCUCAAUGUUGAAUAUAUGUAAGAAUCAAUAAGAUCUGACAUCUAAAUGUUGAAUUGCUCUAUCCGUAGCUCUGAGCUACAGAGCUCUCUGCCCGAAUUACCGACUUUAGGAGGUAAUUAAACAAGGACAGUCCUUAUAAACAACAAAAAAGCUGAAAAUUAUUUUACAAAAAAAAAGAGGAAAAAAAGGAGGUAAAUCAUAAAUUUAAUAUAAUAAAUGAUGACUCGUAACUUUUGAAAUCAUUUAAAUAUCAAUUUUGACUACACAGACCAUUCAGAUGCACCUCUUAAGAUUCAAAUUUACGACUUAUUAAUUAAGAGCUAUUAAGUCUUCUUCUGACUUACAAACAAACAGUCUUAGUGUUUGAUUGCAUCUUAACAGCCCACCUCUUAAUGCAUUUUAACAACUCACAUUUUUUUAUUAAGAGGUCCUCUGAAUAGUUAAGAUACAAAUAUGAGUCUAAACUAUUCAGAGGAACUCUUAAUAUAAAUAUGUGAGUUGUUAAAUGCAUUAAGAGGUGAACUAUUAAGAUGCAAUCAAACACAAUACUAAUUACAAGUCUGAAUAAUUGGUGUUCCUAUAGCUUCUUCCCCCACGGCCCCUAUUGUUCGUAUUUCUAGGUUGGGUCUCAUGGCCAAAGUUAAGGACAUUCUCUCAGACGAUGGUUGGCAACUGCCUCAAUUUAAUCACAACAUCAUGCUUUAAUUUCGGCAAACUUUUGAUUUCAGCAUAUGUUUCAAUAUCUCCCGUGAGGACUAAAUUCAAUGGGGACCAUCCAGAAAGGUCCAGUCAAAACUUCUCUGAUCUAGCACUCGAUCAGAUCCAAAAGAACUCAUGUCCCGUGGCACAAGCUGAUAUAGCAUAAAUUGCAGGUCCCCAGGUUCUCCUCAACUUUACAAAAGCUUCAAACCCUUGAGGCCUUGAUCGCAUUGCAAAAUAUUCUCAUAUUGUGGAUCCUAGAUGUUGUGUGUGCACUCUUUACAAUGAUUGUAAUGAAAAUCAUGCUCAUCUUUUCUUUGAAUGUGCCAAACCCGAUAUAGGCCCGAAGUGCUAUAUGCCGCAAGCCCAUAGACCCGCAAGGCAACAAUAUCAAUAACGCGCAGCCCAAAAAAACAACAACUUAACAAUAAUCUUAACUUAAAACCCAACAAUAAAUAUAUUUUAAAUCAAUCCAAAUGAAAUACUAAUAAAUACCGCAUUCAAAUAAUGGAGACGCAGCUCCUCGAAACUAAGAGUUUUAUCAAAAUUCAUCAACAAAAGAAAACAUCUAAAACUAAACUCCAGCUAUUCCAAGCGUAUCAAAUAAAGGCUUAGCUUUCAACGAUGGGACCUGCAAAAAUCUGUAAGGGGGUCAGCGAUGAAGCCCAGCAAGUAGCAAUCCUCUCUAUCUAGCCGAAUCUAGUACAAUUUGCAAAAUACUUUUUCGAAAUAACUUUUUGUUCAAUAACAAUAGUACAAAAGCUUUCAAAACUAAAACAAUUCAAAAAUGAUUUCAAUGUAUAUCAUAAAUCUUUUAAUCCACAGCCUUAGCGACUAAGGUUACAAUAGCCCUGUAACACGGCCCAAAAGUUCGAUAACGUUAUGAUACGCACCCUACUAAGGUAUCUAUAAAAAUGCACGAUCCCCCAAGGGCAUCUAAAAGAUGUGCGCCUUAGUAGGUCCUCUAUUAGCUCCGGAACUAAACGUAAUCAAUAACGGGUUCUAUACAUAGUCAGACUGAGGAUUUCAAAAACUUUUCUCAAUAUUAUCGAUAAUAUAAAUGAUAUUUUUUCACAGUUCAAAAUCAUAUAAUCUCAUUCACAGUUCGAAAAAUAAAUACUUGAUCCAAAUUUUGAAAUAAAAGAACAUAACAAUUUAAUUUAAAUGGAAGCCUUAAAUAAAAAAUAACGAAUUUUGAAACUGUACAUUUAGGCAUCCGAAUAAUUAAUAAGACAUACUUAAAAGUAACGAUAAUCUUAAAAACACUAAAUAGUUCGAAAAACCACUUACCU
rnacentral:lncRNA from 1 species